rnacentral:rRNA from 1 species
GAUGAACGCUGGCGGCGUGCUUAACACAUGCAAGUCGAACGAACCUUCGGGUUAGUGGCGGACGGGUGAGUAACGCGUGAGAAUCUGCCCUCAGGAGGGGGAUAACGGUUGGAAACGACCGCUAAUACCCCAUAUGCCUAUUGGUGAAAUGAAUUUCGCCUGAGGAUGAGCUCGCGUCUGAUUAGCUAGUUGGUGAGGUAAUGGCUCACCAAGGCUUCGAUCAGUAGCUGGUCUGAGAGGAUGAUCAGCCACACUGGGACUGAGACACGGCCCAGACUCCUACGGGAGGCAGCAGUGGGGAAUUUUCCGCAAUGGGCGAAAGCCUGACGGAGCAACGCCGCGUGAGGGACGAAGGCCUCUGGGCUGUAAACCUCUUUUCUCAAGGAAGAAGAUAUGACGGUACUUGAGGAAUAAGCCACGGCUAAUUCCGUGCCAGCAGCCGCGGUAAUACGGGAGUGGCAAGCGUUAUCCGGAAUUAUUGGGCGUAAAGCGUCCGCAGGCGGCUUUUCAAGUCUGCUGUUAAAACGUGGAGCUUAACUCCAUCAUGGCAGUGGAAACUGAAAGGCUUGAGUAUGGUAGGGGCAGAGGGAAUUCCCGGUGUAGCGGUGAAAUGCGUAGAUAUCGGGAAGAACACCAGUGGCGAAGGCGCUCUGCUGGGCCAUUACUGACGCUCAUGGACGAAAGCCAGGGGAGCGAAAGGGAUUAGAUACCCCUGUAGUCCUGGCCGUAAACGAUGAACACUAGGUGUCGGGGGAAUCGACCCCUUCGGUGUCGUAGCUAACGCGUUAAGUGUUCCGCCUGGGGAGUACGCACGCAAGUGUGAAACUCAAAGGAAUUGACGGGGGCCCGCACAAGCGGUGGAGUAUGUGGUUUAAUUCGAUGCAACGCGAAGAACCUUACCAGGGUUUGACAUCCUGCGAACCUCUUAGAAAUUUGAGGGUGCCUUCGGGAAUGCAGUGACAGGUGGUGCAUGGCUGUCGUCAGCUCGUGUCGUGAGAUGUUGGGUUAAGUCCCGCAACGAGCGCAACCCACGUUUUUAGUUGCCAGCAUUUAGUUGGGCACUCUAGAAAGACCGCCGGUGAUAAACCGGAGGAAGGUGUGGAUGACGUCAAGUCAUCAUGCCCCUUACACCCUGGGCUACACACGUACUACAAUGCUACGGACAAAGGGCAGCAAACUCGCGAGAGCUAGCAAAUCCCAUAAACCGUGGCUCAGUUCAGAUCGUAGGCUGCAACUCGCCUACGUGAAGCAGGAAUCGCUAGUAAUCGCAGGUCAGCAUACUGCGGUGAAUACGUUCCCGGGCCUUGUACACACCGCCCGUCACACCAUGGAAGUUGGCCAUGCCCGAAGUCGUUACUCCAACCCUUGUGGAGGAGGACGCCGAAGGUGGGGCUAAUGACUGGGGUG